CUACGUGCCAGCAGCCGCGGUAAUACGGAGGAUGCGAGCGUUAUCCGGAUUUAUUGGGUUUAAAGGGUGCGUAGGCGGCCUGUUAAGUCAGCGGUGAAAUCUAGGAGCUUAACUCCUAAAUUGCCAUUGAUACUGGCGGGCUUGAGUGUAGAUGAGGUAGGCGGAAUGCGUGGUGUAGCGGUGGAAUGCAUAGAUAUCACGCAGAACUCCGAUUGCGAAGGCAGCUUACUAAGGUACAACUGACGCUGAAGCACGAAAGCGUGGGUAUCAAACAGGAUUAGAUACCCUGGUAGUCCACGCUGUAAACGAUGAUAACUGGGCGUAUGCGAUAUACAGUAUGCUCCUAAGCGAAAGCGUUAAGUUAUCCACCUGGGGAGUACGCCGGCAACGGUGAAACUCAAAGGAAUUGACGGGGGCCCGCACAAGCGGAGGAACAUGUGGUUUAAUUCGAUGAUACGCGAGGAACCUUACCCGGGCUUGA
rnacentral:rRNA from 1 species